rnacentral:lncRNA from 1 species
CACAACCCACUCAAGCAAGCCCUGGGCAUUUUGAGUGGCUUGGGCCCACUUAGGCUUGUAGUGUGUUUGGGUGUGAAACAACGAUUUCAUGCUUGGCAUGGCAUGUCGCUUAGCGUGCUUUAAUUUUUUUUUUAUCAUCCUUGAUGUUUAAUUUUGGCAUGGGCUCGUAGAGCUAGCAUGGUGAAUUAGCAUGGCGCAUGAAUUUCAAUUCGCAUGUGGCAAGUUUUCGAGUACCUAUUUUUUAUGCCUUUUCUUAAUAAAAUGGCGUUUCGGGCUGGUAAUUUGUUUGGGCCCAAUCAUGAAUUUUUUGGGUCUCAACAUUAGCCCCCUUAAUUAUAAGGGCCAUGAGCAGGUGCGGUAAUGGGCCGAAUAAUUAAAACCCAACCCAAAAAAUCAGAUUUGUAUUUUGGAGAACUUCUCUUCUUCCCGCGUGCAAAAUGACGGCGCGUCAUGAUUGGUCCCAUCAGUUACUUGCGGUUUUCCAAUGCCAACCGCCUUCUGCUCUCUCCUUCCUCUUUUAUUAUUUCUUUUUUUUUUUCCUUUUCUUUGCCCUUUCUUUCUCUUUUCCCGCACCAGACCCAAAACUCCUCUCCCACUCUUCUCUCUUCGUUCCCUUUCAUCCUUCCACGAACUCAGACCAAGUGAGAGAGUGAAAUCGGGCAAAAAUCACCUGCUUCCAGCCGCUGGGAAGAAGACUCAAGCGAGACUCAGCCCCAUCGUUCCGCCUCCGUUCAAAGGGAGCCCGUUUGCUGCCGCUGGAAGGGUUCUUCUUCGUGUGGGUUUCUCUUCCAAAACCCCGAUCCUUC